ACAUGACGACAUGGUUCUACACCUGAGAAACGGCUACCACAUCUAAGGAAGGCAGCAGGCACGCAAAUUACCCACUCCMAGCCCGGGGAGGUAGUGACGAAAAAAUAACGAUACGAGACUCAUCCGAGGCCUCGUAAUCGGAAUGAGUACACUUUAAAUCCUUUAACGAGGACCUAUUGGAGGGCAAGUCUGGUGCCAGCAGCCGCGGUAAUUCCAGCUCMAAUAGCGUAUGCCAAAGUUGUUGCGGUUAAAAAGCUCGUAGUUGGACUACAGUUCCGGACUGACGGCUCACCGUCACGGUGUACCCCGCCAGAUCCGAAGCAGCCCCGCGGUCCGUCAAAGGACGGGGGCCCCGUCGGCUCGCCCGGGGUGCUCUUCAUCGAGUGCCCCGAGGUGGCCGGCAUGUUUACUUUGAAAAAAUUAGAGUGCUCAGAGCAGGCUAUUAACAAAUUGAUUUGGCCUGAAUGCCUAUGCAUGGAAUAAUGGAAUAGGACCUCGGUUCUAUUUUGUCGGUUUUCCUCUCGGAACCCGAGGUAAUGAUUAAGGGGAACAGUCGGGGACAUUUGUACUGCGACGCUAGAGGUGAAAUUCUUGGAACGUCGCAAGACAAGCUACUGCGAAAGCAUUUGUCAAGGAUGUUUUCGUUAAUCAAGAACGAAAGUUAGAGGUUCGAAGGCGAUCAGAUACCGCCCUAGUUCUAACCAUAAACGAUGCUGACCAGCGAUCCGCCGGCGCUAUUCCCAUGGCCCGGCGGGAAGCUUCCAGGGAAACCAAAGUCUUUGAGUUCCGGGGGAAGUAUGGUUGCAAAGCUGAAACUUAAAGGAAUUGACGGAAGGGCACCACCAGGAGUGGAGCCUGCGGCUUAAUUUGACUCAACACGGGAAACCUCACCAGGCCCGGACACCGGAAGGAUUGACAGAAUGAGAGCUCUUUCUCGAUUCGGUGGGUGGUGGUGCAUGGCCGUUCUUAGUUGGUGGAGUGAUUUGUCUGGUUAAUUCCGAUAACGAACGAGACUCUGGCCUAUUAACUAGUCGGCGGAUUUCCACAGCAGUUGGUGUCCAGCCCGCAACUUCUUCUUAGAGGGAUAAGCGGCAAGCCUAGCCGCACGAGAUUGAGCAAUAACAGGUCUGUGAUGCCCUUAGAUGUUCUGGGCAGCACGCGCGCUACAAUGAAGGGAUCAGCGUGUUCUUCCCCCUCCGAGAGGAGUGGGCAACCCGAUGAACCCCCUUCGUGCUAGGGAUUGGGGCUUGCAACUGUUUCCCAUGAACGAGGAAUUCCCAGUAAGCGCAAGUCAUCAGCUUGCGUUGAUUACGUCCCUGCCCUUUGUACACACCGCCCGUCGCUACUACCGAUUGAAUGAUUUAGUGAGGGCUUCGGACUGUCGCUCUUUGGUGCUUGGGUAGGGAGGGGGCUUUUAUGCUCUCUCUCGCCCUGCUCUUCGAGCCGACGGAAAGAUGUCCAAACUUGAUCAUUUAGAGGAAGUAAAAGUCGUAACAAGGUUUCCGUAGGUGAACCUGCGGGAAGGAUC
rnacentral:rRNA from 1 species